GCUCUCCUCAGGAUCUGGGCGAGGUCCCGAUGCUGCAGACCUCCGACCGGCCGACCCUCCACCGCCUCCAGCUGGUCUCCAGGCUGAAUCUGCCCGCUGCGAGCUGCUGGGCUGCCGCGACGCACCGUCACGAACCGAUUAAUGUUUGGAAACUCUGGACGGUCGAGCGGCUGCAGGAGACGGGAGGUGAACCAACAACACGCCCAGCAGCCAGUAAAAGACUUUUAAAGAAGUCCAGGUGUGCAGCUCUUUCUGUGGUUUUGGAGUGAUGAGCUGAAGGAACAAGGGCGCUGUGAUCCGAACAGAAGGUGAACUGCAGGUGUGUCGUCAUGCUGGAUUUAAACAGAACCCAGCGGCAGAAACAUCUGGACCACAGAGUCAGAACCGCCUCAACCAACCAGCAGAAAACAACUAAAGACUCCAACAGGUCCUGCCUCCUGGAGCGGUCGAGUGAGACUGAGAAUGAGCAGAAGAGAGAGAGAGAGAGAGCUGGGAGCAGAGGGGGCGUGGCUUACUGAGCAGACAGAGGUGUGACGCUGUACACCUGGAGAAACUCACGGGGACGACUUCCUCCGACGAUGUUGAACCCGAAUCCUCGAGGACCUUUCGACAGCCGAGUGUGGAUGGAGUAACCCUUCAGCUGACUGGGCUGCUCCGUGAACUCUGGGACUGAGACAGACGGGAGGUCAGUGACAGGACAGCUUUCUCCAGGUUGCUCAGAGAUUUGCUCCUCGUCCUGAAGUUCCUCAGCAGGUUUCGGUGUUCCUGGUACGUGAUUGGUGGACUUUCUGGGCCGAUGUGGACUGGGCGGGGCGUCCCAUAGUAGUUCCCUGUGAUUGGACGGAGAGAAAAGAAAAAAACAGUCAUCUUUAUUUUUCAGACCUUUGAACUUGCCGCUCUCCAGCAGAGCUCCAGACUCCUCCAGAGAGAAGAACUCCUCGAUGGACACAAAGUUGUAGUCCACACCUGAAAUCUCUCCGUCCCGAGGCUGCCGGGUCGUACCUGCAGGGAGGACACCGUGAUGUCAUCACAGAGGGACGGGGCUGUCGUCCUAUCAGAGACUCUGACCCACAGAAUGUGAGUCUUACAGGGGACAGCUCGCAGGUACAGGUUCUCUCUGAUGAGCUGCUGCAGCUGACUGUCCAUGGAGCCCGGAGUGAAACACUUGCUGAGGUUGCGUCAUGACUCAGAUGGAGUGAUUUUACACACACAGUUCAGCUGAACACAUGUUGGACUGGACGACACGUUUGCUGAUGGUGCUGCGUUCUCUGUCAGACGUGACUGAAGACUCGUUCUUUACUCUCAGUGUCUUUCAGCUCCAACAUGUCGUCCACUCUGAGACACUUUUCAGUCUCUGUCAGCAGACGACGGCAUCAAGAAACAUCAGAGACACAAAAUACAAGAACUUUCUUUUUAAUAAACUCUGUGUACACAAACAAUGUUGUCAGUGCUGGUGUUCAUGUGUAGAGACCCUGGU